rnacentral:rRNA from 1 species
UACGAAGGGGGCUAGCGUUGUUCGGAUUUACUGGGCGUAAAGCGUACGUAGGCGGUUCUUUAAGUCAGAGGUGAAAUCCCAAGGCUCAACCUUGGAACUGCCUUUGAUACUGGGGAUCUUGAGUCCGGGAGAGGUGAGUGGAACUGCGAGUGUAGAGGUGAAAUUCGUAGAUAUUCGCAAGAACACCAGUGGCGAAGGCGGCUCACUGGCCCGGUACUGACGCUGAGGUGCGAAAGCGUGGGGAGCAAACAGG